rnacentral:rRNA from 1 species
GAGUUUGAUCCUGGCUCAGAACGAACGCUGGCGGCGUGCCUAACACAUGCAAGUCGAACGUGAUCCAGAGCUUGCUCUGGUGAAAGUGGCGCACGGGUGAGUAACGCGUGGAUAACCUACCCUGGUAUCCGGGAUAACAUUCCGAAAGGGGUGCUAAUACCGGAUAAGCCCACGGGCUCUUUGGAGCUUGCGGGGAAGGGUGGCCUCUAUUUAUAAGCUACUGUAUCAGGAUGGGUCCGCGUACCAUUAGCUAGUUGGCGGUGUAACGGACCACCAAGGCGACGAUGGUUAGCUGGUCUGAGAGGAUGAUCAGCCACACUGGAACUGAGACACGGUCCAGACUCCUACGGGAGGCAGCAGUGGGGAAUUUUGCGCAAUGGGGGAAACCCUGACGCAGCAACGCCGCGUGAGUGAUGAAGGCCUUUGGGUCGUAAAGCUCUGUCAGAGGGGAAGAAAUGAUAUAGUGCUAAUACCACUUUAUCUUGACGGUACCCUCAAAGGAAGCACCGGCUAACUCCGUGCCAGCAGCCGCGGUAAUAC